CUCCGUGGUUUCCAGCUCGCGUGGUGGUGGCGGCGGAGCGUCUCCGUGAGGAGGUGCGCGGGGCCAUGACGUCAGCGUCCACCAAGGUUGGAGAGAUCUUUUCCGCGGCCGGCGCCGCCUUCACGAAGCUCGGGGAGUUGACGAUGCAGCUGCAUCCAGUAUCGGACUCUUCCCCUGCCGGUGCCAAGUGGACGGAGACGGAGAUAGAGAUGCUGAGGGCUGCUGUGAAGCGAUUUGGGGACGAUCUUAAUCACAUCAGCUGUGUCAUCAAGGAACGGACAGUCGUACCUGGUGGCCCUACAAAUCCAUACAUCUCCCAGAGAAUCAUGAAAAGGGCCUUUCUGGCCACUCAGUUCAGGAACUCCAUUCUUCAUAACCAGUUAUCCCUAAGUGGAUGCAAAGGUUCUGAAGGGCUCAGAUAAAGACCACUGUGAAGAGAAAAGUAUACGAAGACUCCGGUAUCCCCCUUCCAGCUGAGUCACCCAAGAAAGGUCCCAAGAAGAUGACAUCCGGUGUCCUCUCACCUCCAAACGCCCCUCCGCCCAGCAGCUCCAGUGUCCCUGAAGCUGGGGGUCCUCCCAUAAAGAAACAGAAGGCUGACAGCCUGACCCUGGACUCUGGCCUUCUCUCGACCUCUGCUGAUGCUCCUCUACUCUCCUGCUGAGCCUUCCACCUCUGACCCUCAUUGUUCACCCUGGACCUGUGGAUCGCCUGGGACUCUAAGCAAGGACUGCACGAGAGAGGGUCAGAGGGCUGCUGGAGCUACCCGCCCUGUUCCUGAUAACCACCUCACCCUUUGACUUCUGUCUGAUGGACGUUUUUAUACAGAAAAUUAUAAUUAAAAAUAAUUCUCUCAGCA